rnacentral:rRNA from 1 species
AUACCGCAUACGUCCUACGGGAGAAAGCAGGGGACCUUCGGGCCUUGCGCUAUCAGAUGAGCCUAGGUCGGAUUAGCUAGUUGGUGGGGUAAUGGCUCACCAAGGCGACGAUCCGUAACUGGUCUGAGAGGAUGAUCAGUCACACUGGAACUGAGACACGGUCCAGACUCCUACGGGAGGCAGCAGUGGGGAAUAUUGGACAAUGGGCGAAAGCCUGAUCCAGCCAUGCCGCGUGUGUGAAGAAGGUCUUCGGAUUGUAAAGCACUUUAAGUUGGGAGGAAGGGCAGUAAGUUAAUACCUUGCUGUUUUGACGUUACCGACAGAAUAAGCACCGGCUAACUCUGUGCCAGCAGCCGCGGUAAUACAGAGGGUGCAAGCGUUAAUCGGAAUUACUGGGCGUAAAGCGCGCGUAGGUGGUUUGUUAAGUUGGAUGUGAAAGCCCCGGGCUCAACCUGGGAACUGCAUCCAAAACUGGCAAGCUAGAGUACGGUAGAGGGUGGUGGAAUUUCCUGUGUAGCGGUGAAAUGCGUAGAUAUAGGAAGG